GCACAUGUGAUCCUUGAAAUAGCUUGUAGCUAAGGUUUAUACCUUGGGAGUAGAACCAACAACAUCUACUGGGUGGUCCGAUCUCGAAGUUUCUUGCCCACAAAAGCCGAACGGUGACGCCCCAGACUCGGUUUCUUGGUUCCGUCCCAAAACGCCAAAGAAAGGCACAAUGGCCUAGAAAGGGACGAUCGGACUUGGAACGGGGUCCGAGGCCUCGAAAGUCCACAUCUAGCUACUGGGUGGUCCGAUGUCGAAGUUUCUUGCCCACAAAAUCCGAACGGUGACGCCCCAGACUCGGUUUCUUGGUUCCAUCCAAAAACGCCGAAGAAAGGCACAAUGGCCUAGAAAGGGACGAACUGACUUGGAACGAGGUUCGAGGCCUCGAAAGUCGACAUCUAGCUACUGGGUGGUCCGAUCUCGAAGUUUCUUGCCCACAAAAACCGAACGGUAACGCCUAGACUCGGUUUCUUGGUUCCGUCCCAAAACGCCGAAGAAAUGCACAAUGGCCUAGGAAGGGACGACCGGACUUGGAACGGGUCCGAGGCCUCGAAAGUCCACAUCUAGCUACUGGGUGGUCCGGUCUCGAAGUUUCUUGCCCACAAAAGCCGAACGGUGACGUCCCAGACUCGGUUCCUUCGUUCCGUGCCAGAACGCUGAAGAAAGACACAGUGGCCUAGAAAGGGACGACCGAACUUGGAACGGGGUCCAAGGCGUCAAAAGUCCACAUCUAGCUACUGGGUGGUCCGAUCUCGAAGUUUCUUGCCCACAAAAGCCGAACGGUGACGCCCUAGACUCGGUUCCUUGGUUCCGUCCCAAAACGCCGAAGAAAGGCACAAUGGCCUAGAAAGGGACGAUCGGACUUGGAACGGGGUCCGAGGCCUCGAAAGUCCACAUCUAGCUACUGGGUGGUCCGAUGUCGAAGUUUCUUGCCCACAAAACCCGAACGGUGACGCCCCAGACUCGGUUUCUUGGUUCCGUCCCAAAACGCAGAAGAAAGGCACAAUGGCCUAGAAAGGGACGACCGGACUUGGAACGGGGUCCGAGGCCUCGAAAGUCCACAUCUAGCUACUGGGUGGUCCGAUCUCGAAGUUUCUUGCCCACAAAAGCCGAACGGUGACGCCCCAGACUGGGUUUCUUCGUUUCGUGCCAGAACGCUGAAGAAAGGCACAGUGGCCUAGAAAGGGACGACCGGACUUGGAAC
rnacentral:lncRNA from 1 species